rnacentral:misc_RNA from 1 species
GGAAGUAAAAGUCGUAAACAAGGUUUCCGUAGGUGAACCUGCGGAAGGAUCAUUAUUGUAUAACCGAGGUGCGAGGGCUGUCGCUGACCCGAAAGGUCGUGCACGCCCGAGUGCCCUCACACACAUCCAUCUCACCCCUAUGUGCACCACCGCGUGGGUCCCCCUUUGGCUUGUUCGGAGGGGGGCUUACGUUUUCACACAAACUUUGUAUGCAGUGUAGAAUGUAUUUUUUGUUUUUGCGAUCACGCAAUCAAUACAACUUUCAACAACGGAUCUCUUGGCUCUC